CCUACGGGUGGCAGCAGUGGGGAAUAUUGCACAAUGGGCGCAAGCCUGAUGCAGCCAUGCCGCGUGUGUGAAGAAGGCCUUCGGGUUGUAAAGCACUUUCAGCGGGGAGGAAGGCGUUAAGGUUAAUAACCUUGGCGAUUGACGUUACCCGCAGAAGAAGCACCGGCUAACUCCGUGCCAGCAGCCGCGGUAAUACGGAGGGUGCAAGCGUUAAUCGGAAUUACUGGGCGUAAAGCGCACGCAGGCGGUCUGUCAAGUCGGAUGUGAAAUCCCCGGGCUCAACCUGGGAACUGCAUUCGAAACUGGCAGGCUAGAGUCUUGUAGAGGGGGGUAGAAGUCCAGGUGUAGCGGUGAAAUGCGUAGAGAUCUGGAGGAAUACCGGUGGCGAAGGCGGCCCCCUGGACAAAGACUGACGCUCAGGUGCGAAAGCGUGGGGAGCAAACAGGAUUAGAUACCCUUGUAGUC
rnacentral:rRNA from 1 species